rnacentral:rRNA from 1 species
AUGAACGCUGGCGGCGUGCCUAAUACAUGCCAGUCGAGCGAACAGACGAGGAGCUUGCUCCUCUGACGUUAGCGGCGGACGGGUGAGUAACACGUGGAUAACCUACCUAUAAGACUGGGAUAACUUCGGGAAACCGGAGCUAAUACCGGAUAAUAUAUUGAACCGCAUGGUUCAAUAGUGAAAGACGGUUUUGCUGUCACUUAUAGAUGGAUCCGCGCCGCAUUAGCUAGUUGGUAAGGUAACGGCUUACCAAGGCGACGAUGCGUAGCCGACCUGAGAGGGUGAUCGGCCACACUGGAACUGAGACACGGUCCAGACUCCUACGGGAGGCAGCAGUAGGGAAUCUUCCGCAAAGGGCGAAAGCCUGACGGAGCAACGCCGCGUGAGUGAUGAAGGUCUUCGGAUCGUAAAACUCUGUUAUUAGGGAAGAACAAAUGUGUAAGUAACUAUGCACGUCUUGACGGUACCUAAUCAGAAAGCCACGGCUAACUACGUG